rnacentral:rRNA from 1 species
GGUUGCGAUCAUACCAGCACUAAUGCACCGGAUCCCAUCAGAACUCCGCAGUUAAGCGUGCUUGGGCGAGAGUAGUACUAGGAUGGGUGACCCCUGGGAAGUCCUCGUGUUGCAACCCC